UUAUCAAAAACAUCGCCUCUUGCUAACAAAGGAAGUACUAGAGGUCCCGCCUGCCCUGUGACCACAAAGUUUAACGGCCGCGGUAUCCUGACCGUGCGAAGGUAGCGUAAUCAUUUGUCUUUUAAAUAGAGACCUGUAUGAAUGGCAUAACGAGGGUUUAACUGUCUCCUUCCCCUAGUCAAUGAAAUUGAUCUGCCCGUGCAGAAGCGGACAUAAAUACAUAAGACGAGAAGACCCUAUGGAGCUUUAGACAAAAGAUCAAACAUGUAAAGAAACCAAACCAACCAAAAGGAACACGAAGGCCACAAAACCCAACGUAAACUGAUCUAAAUGUCUUCGGUUGGGGCGACCAUGGGGGAAAGAAAAGCCCCCACGAGGAACAGGGACAACCCCUAAACUAAGAGAGACACCUCUAAGCAACAGAAAAUCUGACCAAAAUGACCCAGGAUACUAAUCCUGAUCAACGAACCAAGUUACCCUAGGGAUAACAGCGCAAUCCUUUCCCAGAGUCCAUAUCGACGAAAGGGUUUACGACCUCGAUGUUGGAUCAGGACAUCCUAAUGGUGCAGCCGCUAUUAAGGGUUCGUUUGUUCAACGAUUAAUAGUCCUACGUGAUCUGAGUUCA
rnacentral:rRNA from 1 species